rnacentral:rRNA from 1 species
UACCAGCACCCCCGAGUGGUCGGGACGUUUUAUUGGGCCUAAAGCAUCCGUAGCCGGUUCUACAAGUCUUCCGUUAAAUCCAACUGCUUAACAGAUGGGCCGCGGAAGAUACUAUAGAGCUAGGAGGCGGGAGAGGCAAGCGGUACUCGAUGGGUAGGGGUAAAAAUCCGUUGAUCCAUUGAAGACCACCAGUGGCGAAGGCGGCUUUGCCAGAACGCGCUCGACGGUGAGGGGAUGAAAGCUGGGGGAGCAAACCGG